UGACAUGGGGGCACCCUGACCGCAAUGCCGCGUGAGUGAAGAAGGCCUUCGGGUUGUAAAGCUCUUUUGUCAGGGAAGAAACACCGGCUCUAACACAGUCCGGGAAUGACGGUACCUGAAGAGUAAGCACCGGCUAACUACGUGCCAGCAGCCGCGGUAAUACGUAGGGUGCGAGCGUUAAUCGGAAUUACUGGGCGUAAAGCGUGCGCAGGCGGUUAUACAAGACAGGCGUGAAAUCCCCGGGCUUAACCUGGGAAUGGCGCCUGUGACUGUAUAGCUAGAGUGUGUCAGAGGGGGGUAGAAUCCCACGUGUAGCAGUGAAAUGCGUAGAUAUGUGGAGGAAUACCAAUGGCGAAGGCAGCCCCCUGGGAUAACACUGACGCUCAUGCACGAAA
rnacentral:rRNA from 1 species